AGGCGGUUGCUAGGCUCCAGCGGCUCCCGGCCAGCGGGGACGUGGAGGUGACAUUUCUCUGACCCACAGGACUGUGGGCGCCCUGCCGAGCGUCGCGCGGUCUUGGGGCGACCUGCAGUGGGGCCCCUGCGGCGCAGCGCGCGGUGGGACUGGCCGGGUUCCCGCGCCGCCCAGGGCCUGUGUCUGCGCCGGUUCCUGGCAAGGGCACCUUGGCCGGGCGGCCCGCGUCCCCUGCGCUUCCCACACCCACGUGGGCGGACCCGGCCCGCAAGCUGGGCCAGCCUGCGGUUUCCGGGCACUGGGGAGUGCGCAGAGCCCCGGGCCAGCGACCGCAGCCGGGGCCCCUGGCUUCUCCCGAGCACUUUCCCCCGGACCGGUCCCUCCAGGGUGGCGGGCGGCACCCAGGGCCGGCGCUCCUCACCAACGCGCUGCAGCUACGGGCUCAGGAGGGAGCCGCAGCGUCGGAGGAGGAAAGCAUUUAAGAAUAGCACAAAGCCUUAGGCUCGAGGAAGCGUGACUGCUUACGUGUUGAAAAUAAAGGUUCUGUAAGUCCCACCGCGGGUGCAUAUUGAAAAGAAAGGGAUCAUUAGCACGCGACCCUCGCCUAGGAGUAUAUAAACCGCAGCACGACUUUCGGAUCACAAAGGCAGAGAAAAGAACACAUUGAAGGCUUUUGCUCACUUUUCCAAGUUGUUUCGUUUCGUUUUGUUUCUAAUGUGGACGAUCAUUUAAAAUGCCUCUGGUGGCCGGGCGCGGUGACUGACGCCUGUAAUCACAGCACUUUGGGAGGCCGAGGCGGGCGGAUCACCUGAGGUCAGGAAUUCGAGACCAGCCUGGGCAAUACGGUUAAACCCCCUCUCUACUAAAAAUAAAAAAAUUAGCUGGGCGUGGUGGCAUGUGCUUGUAGUCCCAGCUACUUGGGAGGCUGAGACAGAAGAAUCGCUUGAACCCGGGAGGCGGAAGUUGCAAUGAGCCAAGAUUGCGCCAUUGCAUUCCAGCCUGGGCAACAGAGCAAGACCCUGUCUCCAAAAAAAACAAAUAAAUAUAACAAAAUUCCUCUGGUAGCCGGGUGCGGUGGCUCACGCCUGUAAUCUCAGCACUUUGGGAGGCUGAGGCAGGUGGAUCACUUGAAGUCAAGAGUUUGAGACCAGCCUGGCCAAUAUAGUGAAACCUCAUCUCUACUGAAAAUACAAAAAUUAGCCAGGCGUGGUGAUGCGCUCCUGUGAUCCCAGCUACUCGGGAGGCUGAGGCGUGAGAAUCGGUUGAACCCGGGAGGUGGAGGUUGUAGUGAUCCGAGAUUGUGCCAUUGCACUCCAGCCUGGGCAACAGAGGGAGAUCCUGUCUCUAAAAUAAAAAAUAAAAGAAAUGCCUUUGGUGAACAGGAAUUCUCAACAUUAGUGACCCGCAGUGUAUUAGUGUUAAUAAUGGACAUCCCCUUUGAUCCAGCAAGCCCAUCUAGAGAUUUCCUAGGAUAGACAAGCCAGUUUGUGCAAUUUCAUGUGUACAGCAUUGUUUUUAGUAUGGAAAGAUUAGAGUUUACAUAUCUACCCAUAGGGAGAGAGUUAAAUAAAUUAUGGUGCAUCCGUUUAGUGGAUUAGUAUACAGCCAUUAGGAAUAAAGGAAUUCUUUAUGUGCUGAUAUGAAAUAUCUUUUUUAUUUUCAAGAAAAAAACCCAGGUUCUGAAUAGUGUAUAAAGUAUGCUACUCAUUGUGCAUAGGGACAAAGAAAAUAUAUACAUUCAUGUUUGCAAAGAUACUGGAGAAAUGUUAGUAGUGGCUGCCUCUAAGGAUGACCAAGAGUGACACUGACUUUUCAUUGUAUCUUCCUUUGUUCUUUUUGAAAUUUGUACAGUCUACUUAUGCUAUCUAUUCAAAAUAAGUGGUGUUAAGAAGAAAUGCCUUUGAGAAUGAAAAUGGUAAGCCCUUGAUUGAGUGGGGUUCAUUUUCUGUUAGGAUCGUGGUCUCUAUUGGUCACAGCUGACCUUGAUCGUCACUGAAAGUGUAUCUCAUUACACAAUAUUGCAGUCUUGAACACCAGGAAGGUUGUUCUGUUCCACAUGAACAUGCUUCAUGAUGGGGUUAGGAAUGUACAACCUGUGAAAAGUGAGGGAGUCUUGAUUAUUAAUAAUAAUAUUAUUAAUAGCUACCUUUUCUUGAUCAUUAGGCACUAUUUGUACAUUAUUUCUCCUUCUCACAUCAACCCAGAAGGUAGGUAUAAGGAAACUGAGUGGCUUCUUGAAUGAAGCCAAACUGCUCUGCAAGAUUGGUGGAAAAGGAGACUCUCCAUGUGCUAACAGGUUCCUGGAUCUCAUAGCUGCUCUGUCUUAGCCCUUAAUAUGUUUCUUUUCCUCAUGGAUGGUGGUUCUGAAACCUGAGCUGUCAGAAGAAUCCUUGGCAGAUUCCUAGAUCCCAGCCUCAGACUCAGAAGGUCUGGAGUUGGGGCUGAAAGCUGCGUGGCUAAUGGGCACUGCAGGUGACUCUGAGGCUGCUGGUCAGUGUCUAGCACUUGGAGAAACUCUACUGAGGGCACCUGCCCCUAAUGCACUGUUGCCACCACUGGGCUGGGGUCAAGAGGCUUUACUUCCCACAUUUGGGCCUCAAUUGGGACCUCUGAGCUUUCCACUAGUUUCCGUUCCAUGAAGGAGUACAAAUUGGAGUAUGUAAAGACAAAAGACAUACGUAAGUGGAUAAUUUGGGUUUGAACUAAGUUCUCUGCGACUCUCAAAGCCAUACUUCCCCCAUGUUGCCACAAAAAGUAUUUGUUUCAUGUUGCCAUGUAUCUCUUACUUCAAAUAUGAAGCAGGAAUGUGAUCUAAAGCAUAAGAACAUAGCAAUAGAUAGACCCAUGUACAUGAUUUCGUAAAACUUUAGAAAGGCCAGUCCUACAUGGUUUGUCCAUAUUUGGACGGUGUGUGGAAUGCACAAAUGAAAGCAUCACUGGCUAUUCUGAACCCCAGGUUUGUGGAAGUGAGUGUAAAGGCCCAGCAGUGAGCCCCAAUCUCACCUGCCCAUCAAAGUUCAGAAACGACAAUCAGAAUAGGCCGCACUUGGCGCUUCCCUGUAGACACAGGAUCUGUGAGUUUGGACAGAUUUCUGGUCAGUUUGGAAGGAAGCUGGCCUCUGUUAACAGAGCACCCCUUAUGGGUCAGUGUUGUGCAGGCAGUCCACAUACACUGUGUGUAUGCGAUGACAGUGCGUCUGCUUGUAGAAGGGGCUGGGUCCCCUCUGCAGAGCCUCCGCAUGGGGCUGCAUGACUGGUUCCGGCCGACUUGCUGGGGAGCGCACAGCCUGUCCACAAAGGGAAUCUUCAUCCUUCCUGAUCUGUAGAGCCAUUUGCAAUGCGUGAUGGCAACUGCUUAACUUCAGUUUUCGUCCCUGGGCCAGAGAUUUCUGUGCCCUGGGAUAAUAAACGUAUUAUCUAAAGAGCUUUUAUUUCUUUCUAGAGAAUAAGGAAAAUGAUACUCUGCAGAAUUUCUAUUUCUUUUGUAAUUAUCUCAGGGGAAGGUAGUUAUUAAGUGUUCACUGAUUAGGAUUAAUGUUUCCAAUUUUUGUCAAGAACAGAAUGUAUGUAUUACUAAUUUAACCAUAAUUUCAAUCAAAACUGUGUCAUUAAAAAUGUUGGCAGUCAUGCAUUUCCUGCAUGGUUAUGAAUUUUUUCAUGUAUCUAUAGUAUUUUUCUAACAGUCUAAUUUUAAUUCAUUCACUUUCUCACGAAAAUGUAUUUUUUUUCCAUUUCAGCAUGUAGUACUUGUGUUACCUUUUCACGAGGCCCACACUCCUCCAAGGAGGCUGCUGAUUGUCUCUAAACUGAUUACCUCCAUUUGUUCUUUCCUUGAUCUUACAGUGUCCAUCAGCUUCCUAUGAUUGAAGAAAAGCUUCCACUUGUAAUAAACCAACUUCUCUCAUCCAGUUAUCAACAUAGACCAAAAAAAAAAAGAAAAAAAAAAGGCCAGGCGCAGUGGCUCAUGCCUGUAAUCCCAGCACUUUGGGAGGUCAAGGUGGGCAGAUCACUUGAAGUCAGGAGUUCAAGACCAGUCUGGCCAACAUGGUGAAACCCUGUCUCUACUAAAAAUACAGAAAUUAGCCGGGAAUUGGUGGUGCGCACCUAUAGUUCCAGCUACUCAGGAGGCUGAGGCAGGUGAAUCGCUUGAAUCCAGGAGGCGGAGGUUGCAUUGAGAGGAGAUCAUGCCACUGCACUGGGCGGCAGAGCAAAACUCUGUCUCAAGAAGAAAAAGAAAAAAGAAAAAAGCGGAGUCGUUCUGUGAGUGAAAACACUGAAUUCCACCGGUUCCUGAUCAUAUUGCCUUUAUUUCAUUCAUUCAUUCAUUCUGGAAAUGGGGAUAAAUAGCCCGUUUGUCUUUCCUGCAGGUUUGUUACGAUGGUGAAGGCAAUUUAGAAGGAACUAUUUAGUGGAGGAUAAAAGUGUUUUGUAAAUGU
rnacentral:lncRNA from 1 species